rnacentral:rRNA from 1 species
AUGUCGCAGACGAACUGGGAGGCUGACAAGAUGCUCGAUGUUUACAUAUACGACUAUUUUAUGAAGAGAAAUUUGCAGGCAACUGCAAAGGCCUUCCAAUCAGAAGGGAAGGUUUCUUCAGAUCCAGUUGCAAUUGAUGCACCUGGUGGGUUUCUUUUUGAGUGGUGGUCAGUUUUUUGGGAUAUAUUCAUAGCAAGAACAAACGAGAAGCAUUCAGAUGUUGCAGCGUCAUAUAUUGAGACGCAGCUCAUGAAAGCCCGGGACCAACAGCAGCAGUUACCUCAACAGCGGCAGCAGCAACCACAGCAUAUACAAAUGCAACAAAUGUUGUUACAAAGAGCCGCACAACAGCAGCAGCAGCAACAUCAGCAGCAGCAGCACCAACAUCAGCAGCAGCAGCAGCAGCAGCAGCAGCAACAGCAGCAGCAGCAACAGCAGCAGCAGCAGCGUAGAGAUGAUUCUUAUCUUCUUAAUGGUACUUCAAGUGGACUUUCUGGAAACAAUCCUUUAAUGCGACAAAACCAAAGUACUGCAAAUGUUAUGGCGACCAAAAUGUAUGAGGAGAGGUUAAAGUUGCCUUCCCAGAGAGACUCGUUGGAAGACGCAUCUAUGAAGCAAAGGUAUGGAGAAAAUGCUGGGCAACUACUUGAUCCAAAUGAAACAUCACUGAAAGCAGCUGCAAGUGGACAAUCCUCAGGGCAAAUUUUGCAUGGUUCCAUUGGUGGUUUGUCGGGCACUAUGCAACAAAUUCAGGGUAGAAGUCCCCAACUUCCAGGGCAUGCUCAGAGUAUCAAGACAGAGAUAAAUCCCAUUUUGACACCUAGAGCUGCUGGUCCUGAGGGGUCAUUCAUGGGUCAACAAGGAUCUAAUCAAGCUGCCAAUAAUUUGACUCUCAAAGGAUGGCCACUCACACAGGGACUUGAGCAACUUCGGUCUGGAAUUCUACAGCAGAAGUCAUUCAUGCAGAAUCAACAUCAAUUGCAACAACAGAUCCAAUUUCUGACUCCACAACAACAGCAGCAGCUUGCCUUGCAGGCGCAGCAAAAUAUGGCAUCCCCAACAUCUAGUGAUGUUGACAGCAGAAGAUUGAGGAUGAUGUUUAACAACAGAAAUGUAGUUCUUGGGCGGGAUGGGCAGACAACAAGCGGUGGAGAUAUCAUCCCAAAUAUUGGCUCUCCUAGUCAAAGUGGUGGUGAUAUAGACAUGCUAAUAAAGAAGAAAAUUGCUAAUGCACACCACCACCAGCAGCAACAGCAACAACUAUUACAACAACAAAGCAAUAGCCAACAGCAGCACCAUCAGGCUGUCUCCAGUCAGCAGUCUCAAAGCUCAAAUCAGCUUCUCCAACAAGAAAAGCCAGGAACUGGAAAUAUGCCUGUUGAUGGGGGCAUGCCGAAUUCUUUUGGGGCCAUUGAUCAAUUAACGAAGAAAAGAAAGAAGCCUGGCUCUUCCUCGGGUAGAGCUAAUAGUUCAGGAACUGGAAAUACUGCUGGCCCAUCUCCAGGUUCUGCACCCUCGACACCUUCCACUCAUACACCAGGAGAUCCGAUGCCAGUACCACAACUUCAGCAGAAUGGUGUUUCAGCAAAACCCUUGGUAAUGUUUGGCUCUGAUGGCACUGGAAGCUUGACUUCUACCGCGAACCCACUGGGUGAUGUGGACCGUUUGCUGGAAGAAGGAUUGGAUGAAAAUGUUGAAUCUUUUCUGUCACAGGAUGACAUGGAUCCCAGGGAUACCUUGGGACGCUGCAUGGAUGCCAGUAAAGGGUUUGGCUUUGCUGAGGUUGCAAAAGCACGUGCAAGUGCAAGUAAAGUUGUUUGUUGCCACUUCUCAUCCGAUGGCAAAUUGCUUGCUACUGGUGGUCAUGAUAAAAAGGUUCUUUUAUGGUGUACAGAUCCCCUGAAGCCUAAAUCCUCGUUAGAAGAGCAUUCGUUUCUGAUAACUGAUGUUCGAUUUAGCCCAAGCAUGCCCCGCCUUGCUACAUCUUCCUUUGACAAAACCGUACGGGUUUGGGAUGCUGACAAUACUGACUAUUCGCUCCGUACUUUCACGGGUCAUUCAGCAUCUGUGAUGUCACUUGAUUUUCAUCCAAAUAAAGAAGAUAUUAUUUGCUCCUGUGAUAGUGAUGGGGAAGUCCGCAGUUGGAGCAUUAACAAUGGUAGCUGCCUGACCUGUGUCAAGGUUUUUAAGGGAGGUGCCACUCAGAUGAGAUUUCAACCCUGCAAAGGAAAAUAUCUAGCAGCUGCAUCAGAGAAGGCUAUCUACAUACUUGAUGGGGAGACACAGCAUGCUUGUAGAAGCCCUUUACAGGGUCAUGCAAAGGACAUUCAGUCAGUUUGUUGGGACUCUGCGGGUGACUAUCUCGCUUCUGUUAGUGAAGAUGCUGUCAGAAUAUGGUCAUUUACUUCUGGGCAGGAUGGUGAAUUUGUGAAUGAGUUGAACUGCAGUGGGAACAAGUUUCAAACAUGUGUUUUCCAUCCAGCUCACCCUUCUUUGCUCGUCAUUGGUUGUUACGAGUCCUUGGAACUUUGGGACAUCAGGGAGAAGAAUGCCAUGACCUUUAACAAUGCUCAUGACGGUUUAAUUGCAGCCCUAGCAGCAUCGAGCGCAACAGGCAAGGUUGCCUCAGUUAGUCAUGACAGGCUUGUCAAGCUCUGGAAAUGA